AGGUAACAGUGAGCGGGAAGCUGGUGAAAUUCAUACCCACUAGGAAAUCACAAGAGAAGCCGGAGACGAGAUUGAAAAACCCCCCUUUCUCUAAGCCUGACAAUAUCAAGAUUGCAAUGCAAGCACCAAAAAGACCAAGAAACCGUGGGUAACACACACUGGAUCCAACCUUUGAAAUUCAGUAUCCAAUCCUUAAGUACUGUCACCAUGUGGUCUACACAUCCACCCAACAAACAGAACACGUUGGCGUGAUUUACAAAAAGAAAACAGUAGCAUGUAGCGAGAAAAGCAAGGUAGAUGAACACUUUAUGGGGCUAUCAGAAGAUCCAGAUUUGAGAUUGAAAACUUAUCAGGUGUCCAACCAGGCGUCCAUAACCAUAAGAGAGAUCAAGUUGGAUAUUUGAAGAACAUAAGCAUCUGCACUGAAGAUAAAAAAAUGACAGCAGAAUACACUACAAACACUUCUGAAAAGAUUUAUCUCAGCUCUGUAUUACCAGCAGUGCUGAAGAUGAAAAAAUGGCAACAGAAUACACUACAAACACUCAUAAAAGAUUUAUCUCAGCUCUGUAUUACCAGCAGUUUGGACAAAGAGAGAAGGGAAUCGCUAUCAUUAGGGAAGGAAACUGGAAUGAAAACCUCAAUAACUACAGAAACCUCCAUGCAAAUCGGCAAGCAAACACGCGGCUCCUUGGAAAGACGCAUUCACUGCUCCAAGGCCCAAUGGCUGCAAGCACAAAUAGGAGGUACCAUUUAAGUGAAAAACUGGUGAAACCGUACCACUACGAAACCAAAAGAGAUGCCAGAGACAAGAUUGAAAAAACCCUUUUCUCGAAGCCUUGACAAUACCAAGAUUGCGUUGCAAGCACCAAAAAGACCAAGAAACCACGCAUAACGCAUGCUGGAUCACCAACCUUUGAAAUUUCAAAAUCCAAUCCUUAAUUACUGUCACCAUGUGUCUACACAUCCCCACAACAAACUAAUACAAGUUGGCGUGAUAAACAAAGAAAACAGUAGCAGAAAAGAUAUGUAGCGAGAAAACCAAAAGUAGAGGAGCACUUUAUGGGGCUAUCACAAAAGAUCCAUAUUUGAGAUUGAGUACUUAUCAGGUGUCCAACCAGGUGUGAAAACAUAAGCAUCUGGAAUGAAAAAACUGAAAAUGGCAGCAAAAUAUGCUAUACACACUUGUGAAAGAUUUAUCUCAGUCAACAAUUUCCCCAUACCAGCAGUUUUGACAAAGAUAAGGGAAUCACGAUAAUUAGGAUAGAAAACUGGAUUGAAAAUCUCAAUACUCAGAGAAGCCUAAACGACAGAGACCUCAAUGACCGGCCUCGCUCAACAAUUUUCCUAUACCAGCAGUUUUGACAAAGAUAAGGGAAUCACUAUAAUUAGGAUAGUUUUCAAAUCUCAAUACUCAGAGAAGCCUAAACUACAGAGACCUCAAUGACCGGCAAGGAGAACAAGGCAGCUCCAUGCAAGGAGGAAUUCACUUCUCUAGGGACCAAUGGCUGCAAGCACAAACAGGAGGUAACAGUAAGUGAAAAGCUGGUGAAACCCAUACCACUAGGAAAUCGCAAGAGAUGCCGGAGACGAGAUUGAAAAACCCCGUAUCUCUAAGCCUGACAAUACCAAGAUUGCAAUGCAAGCACCAAAAAGACCAAGAAACCGUGUGUAACACACUGGAUCACCAACCUUUGAAAUUCAGUAUCCAAUCCUUAAUUACUGUCACCAUGUGGUCUACACAUCCACCCAACAAACAAAACACGUUGCGUGAUUAACAAAAGAAAACAGUAGCAUUUAGCGAGAAAACCAAGGUAGAUGAGCAUUUUAUGGGGCUAUCAGAAGAUCCAGAUUUGAGAUUGAAAACUUAUCAGGUGUCCAACCAGGCGUCCAUAACCAUAAGAGAGAUCAAGUUGGAUAUUUGAAGAACAUAAGCAUCUGCACUGAAGAUAAAAAAAUGACAGCAGAAUACACUACAAACACUUCUGAAAAGAUUUAUCUCAGCUCUGUAUUACCAGCAGUUUGGACAAAGAGAGAAGGGAAUCGCUAUCAUUAGGGAAGGAAACUGGAAUGAAAACCUCAACAACUACAGAAACCUCAAUGCAAAUCGGCAAGGAAACACGCGGCUCCUUGGAGAGACGCAUUCACUGCCCCAAGGCACAAUCGCUGCAAGCACAAAUAGGAGGCACCAUUUAAGUAAAAAACAGGUGAAACCCGUACAACUAGGAAAUCAAAAGAGAUGCCGAAGACAAGAUUGAAAAAGCCUUUUCUCGAAGCCUUGACAAUACCAAGAUUGUGUUGCAAGCACCAAAAAGACCAAGAAACCAUGCAUAAUGCAUGCUGGAUCACCAACCUUUGAAAUUUCAAAAUCCACUCCCUACUUACUGUCACCAUGUGUCUACACAUCCCCACAACAAACUAAUACAAGUUGGCGUGAUAAACAAAAGAAAACAGUAGCACAAAAAAUAUGUAGCGAGAAAAUCAAAAGUAGAGCAGCACUUUAUGGGGCUAUCAAAAGAUCGAUGUUUGAGAUUGAGUACUUAUCAGGUGUCCAACCAGGUGUGAGAACAUAAGCAUCUGGAAUGAAAAAAAACUGAAAAUGGCAGCAAAAUAUGCUAUACACACUUGUGAAAAGAUCUAUCCUUGGUCAACAAUUUUCCUAUACCAGCAGUUUUGACAAAGAUAAGGGAAUCACUAUAAUUAGGAUAGUUUUAAAAUCUCAAUACUCAUAUAAGCCUAAACUACAGAGACCUCAAUGACCGGCAAGGAGAACAAGGCAGCUCCAUGCAAGGAGGAAUUCACUUCUCUAGGGCACAAUGGCUGGCAAGCACAAACAAGAGGUAACAGUAAGUGAAAAGCUGGUGAAACCCCCUUUUCCGAAGCCUGACAAUAUCAAGAUGGCAAUGCAAGCACCAAAAAGACCAAAACCUUUGAAAUUCAAUAUCCAAUCCUUAAUUACUGUCACCAUGUGGUCUCCACAUCCACCCAACAAACAAAAACAAGUUUGGCGUGAUAAACAAAAGAAAACGCACAGAAGAUAUGUAGCGAGGAAACCAAAGAUAGACAUGCACUUUAUGGCUAUCAAAAGAUCAAGAUUUGAAUUGAAUACUUAUCAGGUGUCCGCAACCAGGCGUCCAUAACCUUGAGAGAGAUCUCACAAGUUGGAUAAUUGAAGAACAUAAGCAUCUGGACUGAAGAGGAAAAAAUGCAGCAAAAUACACUACAAACACUUGUGAAAAGAUUUAUCUCGGGUGACAAUUUCUGUAUUACCAGCAGUUUGGACAAAGAAGGGAAUCACUAACAUUAGGGAAGGAAACUGGAAUGAAAAUCUCAAUAAUUAUAGAAGUCUGAACUACAGAAACCUCAAUGCAAAUCAGCAAGGAAACACGCGGCUCCAUGUAAAGACGCAUUCACUGCUCUAAGGCCCAAUGACUGCAGCACAAAUAGGAGGCAACAUUUAAGUGAAAAACUGGUGAAACCAGUACCCAUUAGGAAAUCAAAAGAAAUGCUAGAGAUGAAAUUGAAAAACCCCCUUUCUCAAAGCCUGACAAUACCAAGAUUGCAUUGCAAGCACCAAAAAGACCAAGAAACCAUGCACGACGCAUGCUGGAUCACCACCCCUCAGAAAUUUCAAAAUCCAAUCCUUAAUCACUAUCACCAUGUGGUCUACACAUCCCAACAACAAACAAAUACAAGUUGGUAUGAUAAACAAAAGAAAAUAGUAGAAAAGAAGAUAUGUAGCGAGAAUAUGCUAUACACACUUGUGAAAAGAUCUAAUGUCGGUUGACAAUUUCCGUACACCAGCAGUUUGACAAAGAUAAAUAAUCACUCUGAUUAGGGAAGAAAAUUGGAUUGGAAAUCUCAAUACUCAUCUAAGCCUAAACUAUAGAGACCAACGGAGACCUCAAUGUUUGGCAAGGAAAACAAGGAGGGGCUCCAUGCAAGGAGGAAUUCACUUCUCUAGGGCCAGUGGCUGCAAGCACAAACAGGGGGCAACAGUAAGUGAAAAGCUGCUGAAACCCAUACCAAUAGGAUAUCACAACAAAAGCCAGACACAAGAUUGAAAUUCCCCCUUUCUUGAAGCAUGACAAUAUCAGGAUUGCAAUGCAAGCACCAAAAAGACAAAGAAACCGUGUGUAACAACCUUGGAAACUUCAAAAUCCAGCACUUAAUUCCUGUCACUGUGUGGUCCAACAAACAAAACAAGUUGGCAUGAUAACCAAAAGAAAACAGAAGCUGAGAAGAUGAGUAGGGAGACCACCAAAAGUGGAAGAGCACUUUAUGAGGCUAUCUAAGGAUGCAGAAUUGAGUACUUAUCAGGUGUCCAUAAUGAUAAGAGAUCUCAUCAGCUGGAUGAUCGAAGAACACAAGCAUCUGGACUGAAAAAUAAAAUGGCAGCAGAAUACACUACAUGCUUGUGGAAAGAACAAUCUUA
rnacentral:lncRNA from 1 species